AGGGGCAGCGCGGAUCUUGGGCUGUGUCCCCCAGCGCCCUGGGAUCUGGGGCCUGCACCGCUGGAAUCGUGCUCCCAGGGCUGCGCCACCGCCU
rnacentral:pre_miRNA from 1 species